CCCUACGGGGUGCAGCAGGCGCGAAAACUUGACAAUGCGAGAAAUCGUGAUCAGGGAACUCCAAUUGUCCCCGUUUUUACGGGGUUCUGAAUUGACUCUAAACAGGUCGAGUAAUAGGGGCGGGAAAUAUCGGUGCCAGCCGCCGCGGUAAUACCGAAGCCCCAAGUGGUCGUCGUUCUUAUUGGGCCUAAAACGUCCGUAGCCGGUUUGGUACAUUCGUGGGUAAAUCAGACAGCUUAACUGUCUGAAUUCUGCGAGCACGGCCAAACUUGAGACCGGGAGAGGUGUAGGGUACCUGCGGGGUAGGGGUAAAAUCCUGUCAUCCCGUAGGGACCACCAGUUGCGAAGGCUCUACACUAGAACGGAUCUGACGGUCAGGGACGAAGCCUAGGGGCACGAACCGGAUUAGAUACCCGGGUAGUCCUAGGUGUAAACGCUGUGGACUUUGUGUCGGGAAUUCUUCGAGGAUUCUCGGUGCCGGAGUGAAGAUGUUAAGUCCACUGCCUGGGGAGUACGGUCGCAAGGCUGAAACUUAAAGGAAUUGGCGGGGGAGCACUGCAACGAGAGGAGCGUGCGGUUUAAUUGGAUUCAACGCCGGAAAACUCACCAAAGCCGACUGUUAUAUGAAGACCAGCGUAACGAGCUUGUCGGAUUUUCAGAGAGGUGGUGCAUGGGCC
rnacentral:rRNA from 1 species